AAAGGAAUAGACGGGGGCCCGCACAAGCGGUGGAGCAUGUGGUUUAAUUCGAUGAUACGCGAGGAACCUUACCAGGGCUUAAAUGCAGGCUGCAUGGGGCGGAGACGUCCCUUUCUUCGGACUGCCUGCAAGGUGCUGCAUGGUUGUCGUCAGCUCGUGCCGUGAGGUGUCAGGUUAAGUCCUAUAACGAGCGCAACCCCUACCGUUAGUUGCCAGCGAGUCAUGUCGGGGACUCUAACGGGACUGCCGGUGCAAACCGUGAGGAAGGUGGGGAUGACGUCAAAUCAUCACGGCCCUUACGUCCUGGGCCACACACGUGCUACAAUGGCCGGUACAGAGGGAAGCCACCCCGCAAGGGGGCGCGGAUCUAUAAAACCGGUCACAGUUCGGAUCGGGGUCUGCAACUCGACCCCGUGAAGCUGGAAUCGCUAGUAAUCGGAUAUCAGCCAUGAUCCGGUGAAUACGUUCCCGGGCCUUGUACACACCGCCCGU
rnacentral:rRNA from 1 species